ensembl:snRNA U6 U6 spliceosomal RNA
UCAAUCUCCUCUUGUAUAUACCAACAUUGGGAUCAUACAGAGAACAUUAGAUUAGCAUGGCCCCUGGGCAAGGAUAACAUGCAAAUUCAUGAAAUGUUCCUUGCUGCU